CUGGGAUAUUAUCAGAGCCAAUCUGCAGAGGGCAGCCAUACCUGGGAAUAAUUUCAGUAACAAUAAUCUUCACUAGAAUCUUCCCUAGAUGUCACAAAGGCCUCAUGCCAUCUACUAAACUGAUCAAUUAUGACCAGUAAGUAUUGCUGUUUCUUACCAAUUUUGGAUACAUGAAUAAAAUCAAUCUGUAAGUGUGUAAAAAGAGCAGCGUUCACACGAUCUUACAAAAG
rnacentral:lncRNA from 1 species